rnacentral:rRNA from 1 species
UGCAAGUCGAACGCACUCUCGUUUAGAUUGAAGGAGCUUGCUCCUGAUUGAUAAACAUUUGAGUGAGUGGCGGACGGGUGAGUAACACGUGGGUAACCUGCCCUAAAGUGGGGGAUAACAUUUGGAAACAGAUGCUAAUACCGCAUAAAACCUAACACCGCAUGGUGUAGGGUUGAAAGAUGGUUUCGGCUAUCACUUUAGGAUGGACCCGCGGUGCAUUAGUUAGUUGGUGAGGUAAAGGCUCACCAAGACCGUGAUGCAUAGCCGACCUGAGAGGGUAAUCGGCCACACUGGGACUGAGACACGGCCCAGACUCCUACGGGAGGCAGCAGUAGGGAAUCUUCCACAAUGGACGAAAGUCUGAUGGAGCAACGCCGCGUGAGUGAAGAAGGUUUUCGGAUCGUAAAACUCUGUUGUUGGAGAAGAAUGUAUCUGAUAGUAACUGAUCAGGUAGUGACGGUAUCCAACCAGAAAGCCACGGCUAACUACGUGCCAGCAGCCGCGGUAAUACGUAGGUGGCAAGCGUUGUCCGGAUUUAUUGGGCGUAAAGCGAGCGCAGGCGGUUUCUUAAGUCUGAUGUGAAAGCCUUCGGCUCAACCGAAGAAGUGCAUCGGAAACUGGGAAACUUGAGUGCAGAAGAGGACAGUGGAACUCCAUGUGUAGCGGUGAAAUGCGUAGAUAUAUGGAAGAACACCAGUGGCGAAGGCGGCUGUCUGGUCUGUAACUGACGCUGAGGCUCGAAAGCAUGGGUAGCAAACAGGAUUAGAUACCCUGGUAGUCCAUGCCGUAAACGAUGAGUGCUAGGUGUUGGAGGGUUUCCGCCCUUCAGUGCCGCAGCUAACGCAUUAAGCACUCCGCCUGGGGAGUACGACCGCAAGGUUGAAACUCAAAGGAAUUGACGGGGGCCCGCACAAGCGGUGGAGCAUGUGGUUUAAUUCGAAGCAACGCGAAGAACCUUACCAGGUCUUGACAUCCUUUGACCACUCUAGAGAUAGAGCUUUCCCUUCGGGGACAAAGUGACAGGUGGUGCAUGGUUGUCGUCAGCUCGUGUCGUGAGAUGUUGGGUUAAGUCCCGCAACGAGCGCAACCCUUAUUACUAGUUGCCAGCAUUUAGUUGGG